CGGCAGGCUUAACACAUGCAAGUCGAGGGGCAGCGCGGGGCGGCAACGUCCUGGCGGCGACCGGCGGAAGGGUGCGUAACGCGUGAGCGACAUGCCCGUUGCCCGGGGACAACCGGUGGAAACGCCGACUAAUCCCCGAUGGGACGGAGGCCCUCACGGGUCUCUGUUGAAAGUUACGGCGGCGACGGAUUGGCUCGCGUCCGAUUAGCUUGUUGGCGGGGUAACGGCCCACCAAGGCUACGAUCGGUAGGGGUUCUGAGAGGAAGGUCCCCCACAUUGGAACUGAGACACGGUCCAAACUCC
rnacentral:rRNA from 1 species